rnacentral:rRNA from 1 species
GAGUACGCCCGCAAGGGUGAAACUCAAAGGAAUAGACGGGAGCCCGCACAAGCGGCGGAGCGCGUGGUUUAAUUCGAUGCUGACCGAAGAACCUCACCCGGGCUUGACAUCCCGCCGUCAAGCCUGCCCGAAAGGGUAGGUGAGCCUACCGGAGAGGUAGGCAGGCGGGACAGGAGCUGCACGGCUGUCGUCAGCUCGUGUCGUGAGAUGUUGGGUUAAGUCCCGCAACGAGCGCAACCCCUACCCAUAGUUGCCAGCGGGUCGCCCAUGGAUGUGGGCGAUGCUGGGGACUCUAUGGGGACUGCCGGCGAGGAGCCGGAGGAAGGAGGGGACGACGUCAAGUCCGUGUGGCCCUUAUGUCCGGGGCUACACACGCGCUACAAUGGGCGGUACAGAGGGAAGCGACCCUGAGAGGGGGAGCAAAUCCCUAAAACCGCCCCCAGUUCGGAUUGCAGGCUGAAACCCGCCUGCAUGAAGGAGGAGUCGCUAGUAAUCACCUAUCAGCUAUGGGGUGGUGAAUACGUUCCCGGGCUCUGUACUCACCGCCCGUCACGCCAUGGGAGCCGGGGGUGCCUGAAGCCCCACCGA